GAUGAACGCUGGCGGCGUGCCUAAUACAUGCAAGUCGAGCGAACAGAUGAGGAGCUUGCUCCUCUGACGUUAGCGGCGGACGGGUGAGUAACACGUGGAUAACCUACCUAUAAGACUGGGAUAACUUCGGGAAACCGGAUCUAAUACCGGAUAAUAUAUUGAACCGCAUGGUUCAAUAGUGAAAGACGGUUUUGCUGUCACUUAUAGAUGGAUCCACGCCGCAUUAGCUAGUUGGUAAGGUAACGGCUUACCAAGGCAACGAUGCGUAGACGACAUGAGAGGGUGAUCGGCCACACUGGAACGGAGACACGGUCCAGACACCUACGGGAGGCAGCAGUAGGGAAUAUUCCGCAAUGGGCGAAAGCAUGACGGAGCAACGCCGCGUGAGUGAUGAAGGUCUUCGGAUCGUAAAACUCUGUUAGUAGGGAAGAACAAAUGUGUAAGUAACUAUGCACGUCUUGACGGUACCUAAUCAGAAAGCCACGGCUAACUACGUG
rnacentral:rRNA from 1 species